rnacentral:lncRNA from 1 species
GCCUUUCCUGGGAGCUCUCUGUAGAAUUCCUUCCUGGCUGCUGUCCUGUGAUUAUUGAGCCCCCCCCCGGGGGGGGCUGUUAUUAGAAGAUGGGAGAAACUUUUUUUUUCCUAAGAUAUUCUGGCUAUCCUGAGACUUGCUCUGUACACCACGCUAGCCUUGAACUCAGAGAUCCACUUGCCUCUGCUUCCCGACAUUAAAGGUAAGGUUGGAUGUAUCCCAGGCUAAGCUCAAAGUCCUCUGCGGAGAAGACAGCCUUGAACUUGAGACCUCCUGCUUCGGUUUCUACUGCUGGGAUCAUAGACUUGAGCCUUGCUUCGGUGGAGCUGGGAUUAAUCCUUGGGCCUGGAUCGUGCAAAGUUAGCAGGCUACCAGCUCUGCUAUCCCCAGCCAGCAAACCUGGCCUUCCCCACAGUCAGGAUUUUUCAGUCUCCAGAGUUAUGCUAUAGUCAGUACACUUAACUCGUUCCUUCCACACCCACAGCAUCUCCACAACGAGCGCCUGCUGGAUAAGCGCCAACAUAGAACUGGUUAUAAAGUCGGACCAAUCAGAAUGUGAUUUUUAAGGUACCUGGGAAGUGCUCAGUCCACCAAUGGUGCAUUCCUGGCUCCGGAGGGAAACCAGGCAGAGAGGGCACAGAGAAGCCAGCUUCGGAAUGCUUAGCUGUUCUCCAGCUUACUGUGUUCCAACUCCCGUUCCUGUCCGUUGGAGUGAAGGUAGGUAGCAUUCUGAUGUCAGGGGAGAGACUAUGACUGUGUAGUCACUACUGUAGAAAGUGCAGAGGCCUAGGGGCCAGAGCAAAGACCUCGGUCCCACUACAGCUGGGGACACCUCAGUAAAGUUAGGUUUCUGGUCAGCUUCAUGACAAGUGUUUAAAAGUAACGCUAGAGACUUACAGGGUGUCUGGAGCCUUUUCUUGACUUAUCUGCUCCUUGGAGUCUAAUCAGGAGCUUGUGAAGAGAUGCUAGUGGCCAAGCCAUUUCAGACAAGCUUUUAGGAAGUCACCUGGGUGAGGUAAGUGAUGAUCUUUGACCUGGAGCUUGGAAUUGAUCCCUCCCAUCUAAUCUUUGAAACCUUCAGAUAACUAGCCCCUCUCGCCCAUGAUGCUUCAGCUCUCCCAUAAUGCUUCAUCUCUCCCAUAAUGCUUCAGAUCUCCCAUGAUGCUUCAGAUCUCCCAUGAUGCCUCAGGUGUUUACUUCACAUGAGGAUGUGAAUGCUGUAGACAUUUGUCAUCCAAUUUUUUUUUCUUUUUAGUGAGGGCCUCUCUCUUACCCAUCAAAGCCCAUCAAAGAAGCAUUUGAUUCAUUGUUCAAUUUUCACAAAAUUCUAUACUUUUAUUUCAAGGGAGGGUAGAGUAUGGUUAAGAACAUCGGCUCUGAAGUGCACCUGCCUGUCCAGGUCCAAUUCUGAGACUCACUAGCUUUGCAAUCUUAGAAAUCAGUUAACCUCUUGGUCCUUAUGUGACUACAGAAUCAGAUAAUAAUAACAGGGGUGGGGUAGGAGUGCACCUGGAAUAAUAAAAGCACAAUAAAUAUUAUCCUUUAAAAUAUAUUGCUCACUUUCCUACCAGACUCCCUGAUUUACAAUGAGAACCUAUUCAUGUACCCAAGGAAGCUCCAUAUGAAGUCAGUGUUGUGAUCUGCUGAGUUCAAUUUUUUUCUUAAUUAUGAACGAUGUACUAUUUAUCUUAAGCAUGUCCAUUUUUACAAUCAAAGUCCAAGUGUCUCCAAUAUCAUUUUUAUUUAUUUAAUUUAAUGUAUAAGGUAGUUCCCAAGGCAAUGCCUUGAUACAAGGAGAUGUCCAGGCUGAAGAGACUCACUGUGGAUCAGUGCAGAGUGUCAAACUGCCUAACCCAGGCUUUCCACACAUAAUUACUUGAGAUCACACUGGAGAACCAGCACCCUGAUCCAGUGUGUCUGCCAUCUUUACAUGGAGAGCUAUGGGAAGUGGGAUGUGGCAAAUACCAGAGGACAACCAUCAGUGGAAGGGGAUGUAUAUCAAAGACUGACAGCAACCCAAAAGCUACAAGAAGGCAGGAAGAAUUCCUCUUCAGACUUUAGGGUGGUCAGGACCCUGUAUACAUCUUGAUCCAGAAACUAGAAGAGAAAGGUCAUAGUGGCGUAUUAUGGGAGCCAUAAGAAAAUAUACAUGGGGGAAGCAGACACUGAGAAGGUUAUAUGUGAGGAUCUGGACAGCAUCUGGCAGACAUCACCUCCAGGUAUGAAUCAGGUUGAUUACCUUGGGCGUGUGUCGUGGUGAAGGAAGCGGACAAGCAGAAGGAGCAGCUGACAUACAGAUCGAUGGGAACAUUUCUGGAGCGCUUGAGUACAUAACUUAGCCACAGAUAUAAGAAAGGCGAGUAGCAGUGGCACAGGCCACUUAUCCAUAACUGAGUGAGUACAUUUCCAGUUGAAUGUCCACUGUGUCUCAGCCCAGCCCCAUCAACCUUCUCCAAAGACCAUCCUACCUCUGUCCCCACAGCCCACCAUGACAGGUUACUAGCACAGCUACACUGUGCGGCUGUCUAUGUGAUGUGUAUGUGUGUGCUUUAUGUGUAAAAAGAGCACGUAUUGCCCUAAUGUGGCAUCACUCCCUUUGAGAAGCAAGCCUCAGGCAAGUCCCCCUAUGGCCUCACCAGGCAAACUCAACGUCAUUCUUUUGCCUCAUGGCAGCCUCAAAGAACAGGAUGAUGGAAGAGCCUAUGAAAGACUGAGAAACCUAUAGACACACACUCUCUUGGUACUUCAAGAGUGUGGGCUUCUCACACAUGGUAACUCAUUUUUAAAAUAAAUUUGUGUUUUUAGGAAGAGUGGAAUUUCCUUUGGACCUGACAAAACCAUCGAGGAAGGUGAGAAAUGGUUUACCUUUAUUUAGCCAAGUCAUUUGACUCAAGGUCUGAGCAGCGUAACCAAAGAUACAUGGCACAGACCUCAGGAGCCCGCAGGAAAGGAGCGCCUUCCUGGAACGGUUUACCUUGCCCAGUCGUCCUGGACGCUCCCAAAGGAGGUUCUGUCGUUGUUAGCGAUGUACAUCAGUCUCCAGUGAGGCACAUAACGCUUCAGUGAACAUCUCGUCCAAAGGGACAUUUGAAAGAACAAAAGAAGACCAGAAAUAUUUCUGAAGGAGUAGAAGCUGGGAGGGGACUUUGGGACACUUCUUUCAAGUUUCCUCCUCUGCUAAGAGAAAUCUACAAACACAGGGGAUUGUGUUAUUCGCGUCACUGAGAGCAAGAGGAGAACGUCUGAUUUGGGCAUAGUAUUCCAAGCACAGUUUAUCGAAGUAACUGGACUCAUAAAUACAAAGUUGGAAAGCAUCUCAUGUGUACUGGGUUCUCCCUGGGAGCAAGUGCCUGUCACUGUCAGGGGAGACCUCUCCUGGAGGGCACAAAUACUGCAACGUGUCAGUGAUCCAGUUUCAGGAGUGAAAAAUAAUGUUUUGUGCAAAUGCAUUAAUAUUCUUCAAAAUCUAGAAAGACAUCAGAACUAGGAAGGAAUACAGCUGGAAGCUCAUCUGUUCUUGAGCCAAGUCUUUCCCAGAACACAUGGGUGGGUCUGACUGCAGAGAAAUGGAGAAGAUGGCAGAAAUAUGAAGAUCAGAAAGACUGUCCAAAGGACAGAAUAACAGACAGUAAAGGGCCGAGAUGGAUUUCAUGAACAAAAGCAAAACUCAAAGUGCACAUCAUCUUUGGACUCAUCCAUCAGCAGAUGUCAACACGUUGACUCCAUCCUUGUCGUUUCCUCCAGGCUCCCACAAAACAGUGAUUGGCCUCAAGUGAGUCAAAUGGGAAAGAGCAUGUGUGAGGCCUGGAAACCACUAGCCGCCAAGAAUGAGUUUCAAAGAGGAAAGAAAGGAAAGGAUGUGGGAGAGGAGACUGAGGCUGGAGCUAGCAGAUUCAUCACAGGACACCCAUAACCACUUGAGGUGAGAGCUACAAACUUGAAAAUUCUACUUGGCUCCAG